rnacentral:lncRNA from 1 species
AUGACUUCAGCCACUUAAGGCAAAGAAGGAUAUCUGAGAGGCCUGAGAGGCCGGUUCCUCAAGCUGACCAGUCUUUUUCUGACAGAGCCGUGAGAACUACCCUGAGAUUCAAUGCAUGGUGUUGGGAGCACUAAACGAACAGUUACCAACCAGGCCACGUCACACCGUCAUCCAUUCCAAAUGCUGAGGCUGUACGUCAAGACACCUGCUAAGGGAGAACAUGGCUCAGCAAAGGAAACUCGAGGAGGGUGUUGUGAAGAUGUCAGAAGCUUUGAGGGUCUUUCGGCAAGAUGACAGGUGAGUCUGGACCUGGACACAUAAGAGAUGGAU